rfam:Triticum aestivum genome assembly, contig: Triticum_aestivum_CS42_TGACv1_scaffold_473606_6AL
UUUGUACUCCCUCCGUUCCAAAUUACACAUCACAGAAAUGGAUGUAUCUAGAACUAAAAUACAUCUAGAUACAUCCAUACCUGCGACAAGUAAUUUGGAACAGAGGGAGUACUAC